AUACCAUGGCUCACCCUCCAAAAAUGCCAUUUUUGGCAAUGCAAACAGAGACUUGCAAUAUGUUCUGAUGAAUGUAAAAUUUAAAAGCCCAACCAAGUAGAAGAGAACUCAAUCCAUUGUAAACAGAAUUUUUGCAAGGGGACUCAAUAAAAAGAUAGGUUUUGCACAUCUUUUUUUUCUCUUACAGAUCAGGGGGAAAAGAAAGUAGGAAGUCCUUACUGUCUCUAAUGUGGCAACUAAUGCUCAUGAUCAAAUUUCAAAGUGAAUUCCUUGAUUCCAACCAAGGCAGGAUAUUUCUAUUAUUCUACCAAGGGAUAAACAUUGGCACAUGGAAGUAAAGAACACGUGCACUUUCACAAGUGCAUUAUGCACAUGUAACAAGAAAAAUACCCUUAAUGAUACAAAAAUAUUGUGCAAAAAAACUUUAGAGGGCUAGGGGCAAUGAUUGCAACUACUGCAGAAUCAAGAAAAUGGAAACAAAGAACACUUAACCAACAGUCAAGGGAAUGUUAUAAAAGAAACCACUUAUAAGAUAACAAACAAUGCAGGGAUUCAGAGGAACAAACCUCAACUGUCCGAAGUUCAUUGA
rnacentral:misc_RNA from 1 species